rnacentral:tRNA from 1 species
AUAGCUCAGUGGUAGAGCACUUGCCUAGUAAGCAAAAAGUCCUGCCUGAGUUCAAUCCCCAGU